UGGGGAAUAUUGCACAAUGGGCGCAAGCCUGAUGCAGCCAUGCCGCGUGUAUGAAGAAGGCCUUCGGGUUGUAAAGUACUUUCAGUCGGGAGGAAGGUGGUAAGGUUAAUAACCUUAUCAAUUGACGUUACCGACAGAAGAAGCACCGGCUAACUCCGUGCCAGCAGCCGCGGUAAUACGGAGGGUGCAAGCGUUAAUCGGAAUUACUGGGCGUAAAGCGCACGCAGGCGGUUGAUUGAGUCAGAUGUGAAAUCCCCGGGCUUAACCCGGGAAUUGCAUCUGAUACUGGUCAGCUAGAGUCUUGUAGAGGGGGGUAGAAUUCCAUGUGUAGCGGUGAGAUGCGUAGAGAUGUGAAGGAAUACCGGUGGCGAAGGCGGCCCCCUGGACAAAGACUGACGCUCAGGUGCGAAAGCGUGGGGAGCAAACAGG
rnacentral:rRNA from 1 species